GAUGAACGCUGGCGGCGUGCCUAAUACAUGCAAGUCGAGCGAACAGAUAAGGAGCUUGCUCCUUUGACGUUAGCGGCGGACGGGUGAGUAACACGUGGGUAACCUACCUAUAAGACUGGAAUAACUCCGGGAAACCGGGGCUAAUGCCGGAUAACAUUUAGAACCGCAUGGUUCUAAAGUGAAAGAUGGUUUUGCUAUCACUUAUAGAUGGACCCGCGCCGUAUUAGCUAGUUGGUAAGGUAACGGCUUACCAAGGCAACGAUACGUAGCCGACCUGAGAGGGUGAUCGGCCACACUGGAACUGAGACACGGUCCAGACUCCUACGGGAGGCAGCAGUAGGGAAUCUUCCGCAAUGGGCGAAAGCCUGACGGAGCAACGCCGCGUGAGUGGUGAAGGUCUUCGGAUCGUAAAACUCUGUUAUUAGGGAAGAACAAAUGUGUAAGUAACUGUGCACGCCUUGACGGUACCUAAUCAGAAAGCCACGGCUAACUACGUG
rnacentral:rRNA from 1 species